GGUGAAUGCGUUCCCGGGCCUUGUACACACCGCCCGUCACACCAUGGGAGUUGGUUCUACCUGACGGCCGUGCGCUAACCUUCGGGAGGCAGCGGACCACGGUAGGAUCAGCGACUGGGGUGAAGUCGUAACAAGGUAGCCGUAGGGGAACCUGCGGCUGGAUCACCUCCUU
rnacentral:rRNA from 1 species